rnacentral:misc_RNA from 2 species
CAACCCUCAGGCCCCCGGGCCUGGCGUUGGGGAUCGGCGGAGCCCCCCGUGGGCACACGCCGUCCCCCAAAUACAGUGGCGGUCCCGCCGCAGCUUCCAUCGCGUAGUAGCUAACACCUCGCGACUGGAGAGCGGCGCGGCCACGCCGUAAAACACCCAACUCUUCUGA